UACGUAGGGUGCAAGCGUAAUCGGAAUUACUGGGCGUAAAGCGUGCGCAGGCGGUUAUGUAAGACAGAUGUGAAAUGCCCGGGCUUAACCUGGGAACUGCAUUUGUGACUGCAUGGCUAGAGUUGGCAGAGGGGGUAGAAUUCCACGUGUAGCAGUGAAAUGCGUAGAUAUGUGGAGGAACACCGAUGGCGAAGGCAGCCCCUGGGUCAAGACUGACGCUCAUGCACGAAAGCGUGGGAGCAAACAGG
rnacentral:rRNA from 1 species